GGGUCCUAUAGGGCCGUGGGGUCCUAUGGGGGCUGUGGGGUCCUAUGGGGUCUGUGGGGGCUGUGGGUCCCACCCGUGUCUGUGGGCCCCAUAGGGAUGUGGGGUCUGUGGGGUCCUAUGGGGUCUGUGGGGUCCUAUGGGGUCUGUGGGGUCUGUGGGCUCUGUGGGGCUGUGUGGGCUGUAGGAUCCUAUGGGGUCUGUGGGGUCCUAUGGGGGUCUGUGGGGUCUGUGGGUCCCACCCGUGUCUGUGGGCCCCAUAGGGAUGUGGGGUCUGUGGUGUCCUAUGGGAUCUGUGGGGUCCUAUGGGGUCUGUGGGCUCUGUGGGCUCUGUGGGGCUGUGUGGGCUGUGGGAUCCUAUGGGGUCUGUGGGAUCCUAUGGGGUCUGUGGGGUCUGUGGGUCCCACCCGUGUCUGUGGGCCCCAUAGGGAUGUGGGGGCUGUGGGGUCCUAUGGGGUCUGUGGGGUCUGUGGGUCCCACCCGUGUCUGUGGGCCCCAUAGGGCUGUGGGUUCUGUGGGGUCCUAUGGGGUCCUGAGGGGUCUGUGGGGUCCUAUGGGGUCUGUGGGGUCUGUGGGCUCUGUGGGGCUGUGUGGGCUGUGGGAUCCUAUGGGGUCUGUGGGAUCCUAUGGGGUCUGUGGGGUCUGUGGGUCCCACCCGUGUCUGUGGGCCCCAUAGGGAUGUGGGGGCUGUGGUGUCCUAUGGGGUCCUGUGGGGUCUGUGGGGGUCUAUGGGGUCUGUGGGGUUCUGUGGGUCCUGUGGGGGGUCCUAUGGGGUUUGUGGGUUCCUAUGGGGUCUGUGGGGUUCUGUGGGUCCUGUGGGGUCCUAUAGGGUUCUAUGGGGUUCUGUGGGGUUUUAUGGGGUUCUGUGGGGUUCUGUGGGUCCUGUGGGGUCCUAUAGGGUUCUAUGGGGUUCUGUGGGUCCUGUGGGGUCCUAUAGGGUUCUGUGGUGUCACAGGGUGACGCAGGGACCCCAUAGAGACCCAAAGGGGGACGGCGGCACCCCAUAGGGACCCCAUAGGGACCCCAUAGGGGAACACCCAUAGGGUGACAGCGGGACCCCGUAAAGACCCCAUAGGGGGACACUGGGACCCCAUAGGGACCCCAUAGAGACACCUAUAGGGUGACGCCAGGACCCCAUAGGGACCCUAUAGCGACCUCACGGCUGCCCCAUAUUGGGACGCCCAGAGGGGCCCCAUAGGGGGACUCCCAUAGGGUGACAGCGGGGCACAAAUAGGGUCACCCGUAGGGACCCCAUAGGGGGACUCCCAUAGGGUCAUGUAGGGGCUUUACAUGGGGUCAGCACAUGGGGGACCCUAUAGCGACCCCAUAGCAGCCCCACAGGGACCCCAUAUAAGGACCCUAAAUAGGGACCCCAUAGGGUGACACCGGGACCCCAUAGGGACCCCAUAGGGUGGCGCCAGGACCCCAUAGGGACACCAUAGGGACCCCAUAGGGGGACUCCCAUAGGG
rnacentral:lncRNA from 1 species